CGUGUAGGCGGGAAGUUAAGUCAGGUGUGAAAUCCCUGGGCUCAACCUAGGAACUGCAUCUGAAACUAGCUACCUUGAGUGUCGGAGAGGGAAGCGGAAUUCCGGGUGUAGAGGUGAAAUUCGUAGAUAUCCGGAGGAACACCGGUGGCGAAGGCGGCUUCCUGGACGAUUACUGACGCUGAGACGCGAAAGCGUGGGGAGCAAACA
rnacentral:rRNA from 1 species